GACGUAGGGCGCGAGCGUUGUCCGGAUUUAUUGGGCGUAAAGAGCUCGUAGGCGGUUUGUCGCGUCUGCCGUGAAAGUCCGGGGCUCAACUCCGGAUCUGCGGUGGGUACGGGCAGACUAGAGUGAUGUAGGGGGAGACUGGAAUUCCUGGUGUAGCGGUGAAAUGCGCAGAGUAUCAGGAGGAACACCGAUGGCGAAGGCAGGUCUCUGGGCAUUAACUGACGCUGAGGAGCGAAAGCAUGGGGAGCGAACAGG
rnacentral:rRNA from 1 species